AAUGCCUACGGGAGGCAGCAGUGGGGGAUAUUGCACAAUGGGGGGAACCCUGAUGCAGCGACGCCGCGUGGGUGAAGAAGCGCCUCGGCGCGUAAAGCCCUGUCAGCAGGGAAGAAAAUGACGGUACCUGAAGAAGAAGCCCCGGCUAACUAAGAACCAGCAGCCGCGGUAAUACGUAGGGGGCCAGCGUUAUCCGGAUUUACUGGGGGUAAAGGGGGCGCAGACGGCGAUGCAAGCCAGGAGUGAAAGC
rnacentral:rRNA from 1 species